GGACUACCAGGGUAUCUAAUCCGGUUCGUGCCCCUAGCUUUCGUCCCUUGCCGUCAGGUCCGUUCUGGUGAGACGCCUUCGCCACUGGUGGUCCUUCAAGGAUUACAAGAUUUCACCCCUACCCCUGAAGUACCUCUCACCUCUCCCGGCCUCGAGCCGAACAGUAUCUCCUGAAAGCCCGACAGUUAAGCUGCCAGAUUUCCCAAGAGACUUAUCCGGCCGGCUACAGACCCUUUAGACCCAAUAAUAACGGUUACCACUCGAGCCGCCGGUGUUACCGCGGCGGCUGGCACCGGUCUUGCCCGGCCCUUGCUAUGCAAUGCUUUUUAGGCAUUACGACAGCCAGAUUUGUAACCUGGCACUCGAGGUCCCCUUAUCGCCGUUGCCGGCAUUGUAAAGUUUUCGCGCCUGCUGCCUCCCAUAGG
rnacentral:rRNA from 1 species